rnacentral:tRNA from 1 species
GGAGAGAUGGCUCAGUGGUUAAGAACGCUGACUGCUCUUCCAGAGGUCCUGAGUUCAAAUCCCAGCAACCACA